ACCUGGCGCACAAAAUCGGAUAUUUUGCAAAAAUACUCGAAAUGCCUACCAAUAUCCAUACAUUACUACGUUGUGUAUACGUAAUAUUACAAACUAUACCGUAUACACAUUCACACUCUAGUGCACACCUUGCACGGCUAAGCUCGGCACUAUUAAUUAUAUCGUGUACCCCGAGUGCUGCGGAGAUUUGCUGCAGAAUUUACCGCCGCCUGUACGCACCACGCCACAUAAACUGUAUACAUAAUAAUUAAGGCCGAGAAUGUGGGAACAAUCUGGUUUGAUAUCGAUAUAUUCGCAGCGACGUUUUCAACAUCGGCCUAAUUUAAGCCGUGCUGUAAUGUACAAAUUAACACUGCGAGGCGAAAAACAGCCGCUACGUUUCGUUCAUUUCGUGA